UUAACUUGGUCAAGAAUUGCUAAGAACUUGGUCCCAGAAUUCUCAUCUUGGAACUCACUGAUCCAUUGCUAGCCAUCAGACCUACUUUAUGGUUAGAAUCUCACCUAAAAUUCACAUCCCAGACUCAGCUAAUCCAGAUCACUACUUGCCUGCUUCGGCAGGAAAUUCUUCCCAGAGACUUCUUUCUGUGUAGACUGGCCUUAACCUUGAGAUCCACUUGAUUCAACCUUUCAACUCUUGAGAUUACAGUCCAUCUGGGAGUCAAGAAGAAAAGAACAGGUGUCUCAUCAUGGAUACAAAAGAUCAAGUCCAUCUGUUAAGGAGAUGACACAUGAGAAUGACGGGGUUAAGUCUGGGGAGGUAGCUCGCUUUUAAAAGUGCUUGCCUGGCAUACCUAAAGCCCAUCCUCAGCACCACAUAACCAGUUACAGCAGCGUACACCCAAGAUCCCAGAACAGAAGAGAUGGAGGCAGGAGGAUCUGAAGUUCAAGGACAUUCUCAGCUAUAUAAUUUAUGCUAUAGCUGAGGAUGACCCUGAAUUCCUGCCUCCACCUCCAAAGCCCUAAGAUUUACAACUGUGUUCUACCAUGAUUGGUUUUAUGCAUUUCUGAGGAUUGAACCCAUGGCUUUGUGCAUGGAGCACUGGACAAUGUCAGGGGCACUUUUGCUGUUACAAUGGGAGUUGGCAUCUACUGGACAGAGAUCAAACAAGGCUGCUAAACAAGGCUGUAAGAAAAGCAACAGCUUCCCAACAACAAAUUAUCCCACUCUGCUAAAAGUGCUGAAGUUGAGAGAUCUUGUAUUAAACUUUGUAAAUGAUAAAUACAAAUAUAUAUACCACUCC